AAAAUAAUAGAAAUAGGGCGUAAUUGAAAAUAAAACGGGAUUUUUGGGCCAAGACAAGAGGAGUGGGAAAUCAAACGCAGAAUUUACCAAUGAGGGCAAAAAAGUCAUGGGUCAACCCACCUUAAACGGUUCCGUUCCCAUGGGAUCAAAUAUCCCAAAACCUUAUUAUUUUGUUUGUGGCUCAUUUGAGCCAAAAUCAUAGGGAGAAAAUAGGGGUUUUCCCCUUUUCCCUCCGCAGGGGCAUAGAUCGCCCAUCGUCGCGGGUCCACCUUCCCCAAAUGCACACCGCGGUGGCCGACAGGCCAGAUACCUCAGAGGCGUGGGAGCGUGGCAUGGAGUAGCGCACGAUUCGGAAGCUUGGCACGCAUCGUACGCUGCUUGGACUCGAAGCUUGCGGCGCCGAUUUCCUUCUGCUGCUGGGGUUUUAGGUUGGCUUUAUAUUUUGUGUAUUGGGUUGAGAGAUUUGGGAUAGGUUUUGGGUAAUCUGUUGGGCUUUAGGUCUGUUUUGUAUUGGGUUUUAAUAGGUGUUUUUAUAUUUGGGUUUAGUUUUUUAUAUUUAAUUUUGUAUAUGUGUGGGCUUGGGCAUAAAUUGGGCUCAACACUAUAAAUAAAUAAUUACAUGAUAAUUAGAUUAUUUUAUAAAA